UACAGAGGAUGCAAGCGUUGUUCGGAAUUAUUGGGCGUAAAGCGCGCGCAGGCGGCUCUCUAAGUCCAUGGGUAAAAGGCCGGGGCUCAACCCCGUGUACGCCCAGGAUACUGGGGAGCUGGAGACACGUAGAGGCAAGCGGAAUUCCGGGUGUAGCGGUGGAAUGCGUAGAGAGUCCGGAAGAACACCAGUGGCGAAGGCGGUCUGCUGGGCAGUGGGAUCGAAAGGUCCCUUCAACCGACACUGAGGCGCGACAGCGUGGGGAGCAAACAGG
rnacentral:rRNA from 1 species